CGACCGCUGGCGGCGUGCUUACCACAUGCACGUCGCACGGUGAAGCUCCAGCUUGCUGGAGUGGAUCAGUGGCGAACGGGUGAGUAACACGUGAGCAACCUGCCCCUGACUCUGGAAUAAGCGCUGGAAACGGCGUCUAAUACUGGAUACGAGAAGGGUCCGCAUGGGCACUUUCUGGAAAGUUUUUCGGUUGGGGAUGGGCUCGCGGCCUAUCAGCUUGUUGGUGAGGUAAUGGCUCACCAAGGCGACGACGGGUAGCCGGCCUGAGAGGGCGACCGGCCACACUGGGACUGAGACACGGCCCAGACUCCUACGGGAGGCAGCAGUGGGGAAUAUUGCACAAUGGGCGGAAGCCUGAUGCAGCAACGCCGCGUGAGGGAUGACGGCCUUCGGGUUGUAAACCGCUUUCAGCAGGGAAGAAGCGAGAGUGACGGUACCUGGAGAAGAAGCACCGGCUAACUACGUG
rnacentral:rRNA from 1 species